CAGUAGCCGCGGUAAUACGUAGGGUGCAAGCGUUAAUCGGGAUUACUGGGCGUAAAGCGUGCGCAGGCGGUUUUGUAAGACAGAGGUGAAAUCCCCGGGCUCAACCUGGGAACUGCCUUUGUGACUGCAAGGCUAGAGUACGGCAGAGGGGGAUGGAAUUCCGCGUGUAGCAGUGAAAUGCGUAGAUAUGCGGAGGAACACCGAUGGCGAAGGCAAUCCCCUGGGCCUGUACUGACGCUCAUGCACGAAAGCGUGGGGAGCAAACAGGAUUAGAUACCCGUGUAGUCCCUGUCUCUUAUAC
rnacentral:rRNA from 1 species